GAUGAACGCUAGCGGCAGGCUUAAUACAUGCAAGUCAAGGGGGUAGCAAUACAACCGGCGCACGGGUGAGUAACGCGUACACAACAUACCAUAUACUGGGGUAUAGCUUUGGGAAACUGAAGGUAAUCCCCCAUAACAUUGCGAGAGGGCAUCUGAUUGCAAUUAAAGUUUCGGCGGUAUAUGAUUGGUGUGCGUUUGAUUAGCUAGUUGGUAGGGUAACGGCCUACCAAGGCGACGAUCAAUAGCUGGCGUGAGAGCGCGACCAGCCACACUGGAACUGAGACACGGUCCAGACUCCUACGGGAGGCAGCGGUAGGGAAUAUUGGACAAUGGGCGCAAGCCUGAUCCAGCCAUGCCGCGUGAUAGAUGAAGGCCCUCUGGGUUGUAAAUAUCUUUUAUCUGGGAAGAAACUCCUCUAUUCUUAGAGGCCUGACGGUACCAGAGGAAUAAGCACCGGCUAACUCCGUGCCAGCAGCCGCGGUAA
rnacentral:rRNA from 1 species